CACGUAGGGUCCGAGCGUUGUCCGGAAUUACUGGGCGUAAAGCGCGCGCAGGCGGUCCAUUCAGUCGCUGGUGAAAGCCCCACGCUCAACGUGGGAAGGUCCGGCGAGACGGGUGGACUGGAGGCAGGGAGAGGUCGGUGGAAUUCCGGGUGUAGUGGUGAAAUGCGUAGAGAUCCGGAGGAACACCAGAGGCGAAGGCGGCCGACUGGACCUGACCUGACGCUGAGGCGCGAAGGCGUGGGGAGCGAACAGG
rnacentral:rRNA from 1 species